UACGUAUGAAAAGAUGAGCCAUCCACCCGUAGAGUAACCCAACCACCAUAUAUAGGUUGACUCCGAUCGUCCUUCACCAAGGAAGAGUCUUCGAAGUAGGGGUAAAGAGACGAGAGAAGUGUUGACGAUCUCCUAGGGAGUUCUCAGGCUAGAAGUGUUCUUUACCGACGAUCGCGAUCGCCUCCAUCUUGACUUCUCUUGUUCGGCUCGUAAAAUUCGUGUAAUGGCUUCGUAGACGGUAAUCUGAAAGACUUCUCAUAGUGUCUAGUCAAGAGUCUCUUCGCACAUUAACCAUUUCCGCGAAAACCUUGGCAAAUACUCCCUUGACACGGUCUACCCCUUUGGUAGCGACAGUUCUUUGAACGGCUUUUAAGCGGGGAAGGUGCUCUAUUUCGUAAAUUAUUACUCCAAGUUUUAUAAUACCGAGAAGUUGUACUCUUACAACAUUUCAACCAACCAAUGACAGUACUUUCAGUUUUCUUUCACCACGUCUUGUUACCUUCCAUAUAACAACGACUGUAACAACUUUCACAUGAGACGAUACUUAUAAAUGGUUCUCCUUCGGAAUUCUUCUUAGAAAAACCUCUAUGGGUUUACCCGACCCUGUGUGCUAAGUUGUAUUAAUUCCCCUAGACGCUCCCAAAUGAGAAACAUGUGUCGUAAGGAUAACACGUAUACCUAGAAUUCGGGCUUUUAUAUGACGACCUAUCAUUGUACCAUGGCUUUUAUCGCCUAAAACCAGAGAGUGCUGAGAAGCCAGUUCUUGUUUGUGCCUACUUGUGUGUUUUGCAUCACCCCAGUAUACCUAUGUAACGAGGUCUUAUAGAUAUGUCUCCACUUUAGAGGUGUUUCAGCCUGUAUAUGUCAAAUCCACAUGAUUAGGACCUCUGGUGGUGUUCUCUCCUCUUAACGGCGCCCUUGUUUGGUAGACGUCUUGUUAAAUAAUUUUUUCAUACACUUUUAACCUGUCUGGUCGUGUAGCAUAGCCUCAUGGGUAGUAAUUUUCGUCUAACGGAGGCUGUUUAUUUUUUUACGUAGCUUUAACCUGACGUUACACAACUCUGUCUAGCCGUCUCCUCUGGAAGGUAUCUUCUUUAAUAGCUGGUUGAGUUACCUGCUGUAGGAUUAAAUCGAUGUUCCAGUAUGACUAGAGGUCAGAGGACCCUCUUACGUAUAAGUCAGAAGAAGUCCUCUGUACACGUUCUUCCUUUCCUGUACGAGAUGAAUCACUGUUUGAACCUUAUUAAACGAUACUAUACAUAGAGGAUAAUUGAAGGUAAAGAAUACUACCAACGAUGAGGAACAUAUAAAAGAACCAUUACCUCAAGAAAUAUGAGGUAUAUGUUACACCAACGGACAGGUCAAAGUCACGGUUUAUUAUUAAAAUAAAAGGGCGA
rnacentral:rRNA from 1 species